rnacentral:rRNA from 1 species
AUUGAACGCUGGCGGCAUGCCUUACACAUGCAAGUCGAACGGCAGCACGGGAGCAAUCCUGGUGGCGAGUGGCGAACGGGUGAGUAAAGUAUCGGAACGUGCCCAGUCGUGGGGGAUAACGUAGCGAAAGUUACGCUAAUACCGCAUACGAUCUAUGGAUGAAAGCGGGGGAUCGCAAGACCUCGCGCGAUUGGAGCGGCCGAUAUCAGAUUAGGUAGUUGGUGGGGUAAAGGCUCACCAAGCCGACGAUCUGUAGCUGGUCUGAGAGGACGACCAGCCACACUGGGACUGAGACACGGCCCAGACUCCUACGGGAGGCUGCAGUCGAGAAUCUUCCGCAAUGGGCGAAAGCCUGACGGAGCGACACCGCGUACAGGAUGAAGGCCUUCGGGUUGUAAACUGUUGUCACGCUAUAGGAACCACUCGGAGUUAACAGCUGCGAGUCUGACUAAAGCGAGAGGAAGCACCGGCUAACUCUGUGCCAGCCGCCGCGGUAA